GCGCGAAACCUCCGCAAUGCGGGAAACCGCGACGGGGGGACCCCGAGUGCCGUGGCAACGCCACGGCUUUUCCGGAGUGUAAAAAGCUCCGGGAAUAAGGGCUGGGCAAGGCCGGUGGCAGCCGCCGCGGUAAUACCGGCGGCCCGAGUGGUGGCCGCUAUUAUUGGGCCUAAAGCGUCCGUAGCCGGGCCCGUAAGUCCCUGGCGAAAUCCCACGGCUCAACCGUGGGGCUUGCUGGGGAUACUGCGGGUCUUGGGACCGGGAGAGGCGGGGGGUACCCCUGGGGUAGGGGUGAAAUCCUAUAAUCCCAGGGGGACCGCCAGUGGCGAAGGCGCCCCGCUGGAACGGGUCCGACGGUGAGGGACGAAGGCCAGGGGAGCAAACCGGAUUAGAUACCCGGGUAGUCCUGGCUGUAAAGGAUGCGGGCUAGGUGUCGGGUGAGCCUCGAGCUCGCCCGGUGCCGUAGGGAAGCCGUUAAGCCCGCCGCCUGGGGAGUACGGCCGCAAGGCUGAAACU
rnacentral:rRNA from 1 species